rnacentral:rRNA from 1 species
AGAACGAACGCUGGCGGCAGGCUUAACACAUGCAAGUCGAACGCACCGCAAGGUGAGUGGCAGACGGGUGAGUAACGCGUGGGAACGUACCCUUCAGUUCGGAAUAACCCAGGGAAACUUGGGCUAAUACCGGAUACGUCCGUAAGGAGAAAGAUUUAUCGCUGAAGGAUCGGCCCGCGUCGGAUUAGCUAGUUGGUGGGGUAAAAGCCUACCAAGGCGACGAUCCGUAGCUGGUCUGAGAGGAUGAUCAGCCACACUGGGACUGAGACACGGCCCAGACUCCUACGGGAGGCAGCAGUGGGGAAUAUUGGACAAUGGGCGAAAGCCUGAUCCAGCCAUGCCGCGUGAGUGAAGAAGGCCUUAGGGUUGUAAAGCUCUUUCAGCGGGGACAUAAUGACGGUACCCGCAGAAGAAGCCCCGGCUAACUUCGUGCCAGCAGCCGC